AUAUUCUAAAGUUAAAAACUUUCUUAAUAUCUUCAAUAUUAUACUUUUUUUAUAAGCUAUUAAAAUA
rnacentral:tRNA from 1 species